AGGUUUCAGACGGAUGAUUUUCUUAAUUGAGAAAAAGGUCCUUGAUUCAAUUAUGUUCAUUGAAGGUAAGUUAAAACUAAUUAUGAGUAUCUGUGUCCCCUUUUUUAUAACGAUUAUAUUCCCAUUAUGUAAAGAAUAGUAGAAAAGUGAGUAGUCAUUUUUUUUAAAUUAAGAAUCAAAACCUUAAACAACAUAGUCAAGUGGUGAUGUUAACUUAUUGUGAAAGCAUGACGACUGUGAUAACAUUAUAGUAGCAAUUUAUUACAUCCAACUAUAUAUUAACUUGAUGGUGUAUACAAGAAAACAAAACUAUCAAAAAGAUUUGUAUAUACCAGGAAAACGCCAUUAUGAGUUCAAAUACAAUAUUAACAACGUACACACUCUGAAAUAUCUGGCCUGCUUCAAUGUACUGAUUAGGAUUGAAUUUAUGUUGAAUGGAUACAGAAAUUAAUAUUAUCCAUAAUUUAGUAAAAGGAGAUACUAGUAAAGGUAGGAUCAACCAUGUCAGACAAACAUGUACGACUUCAAACAUACCUUACAUCAAAUAGUGUUUACCUAUUGUUAUAUAGUAUUUGUGAAACAGACCUAACCAAGAAAACUUAACUUAUUGACCGAUAAAAUAUUAAAAAAAAAAGAGGCAAGUUAAAAGAUUAGAUGAAUCUGGCCAGACAGAUUUGUACACUUUACAACCAUUCCACCCACCAAAUAUCGUUGACCUAUCGCUUAUAGUAACUGAUAAACGUACGCAAGGCUCCCAUAUCCCAAAUUAUAUAGAUUUCCUAUUAAUCAUAAUAAGAAAGAAAUUCACACCACAAAAAAGCAGUCGCUGAACCAUAAAAAAGAUUUUAAGUACAAUGGAUAUUUGACAGACGUAAAAUUCGUAACACGAUGCACAUGUAUACAAGGUAUUAAGAACCUGGGUUUUCUGAAACCGAAAUAUAAUGCUUUAUGCAAAUAGUUUCAGCCGCUGCUGCUGCUGCUGCUGCCAGUUUGUCUUGCAUUUACAAAAUAUUGACAUUGAAAUUCUUUGUUUUCUCUUCCAGAUAAUAGUGUAGCCCAUUUUGCUACAAUUAUCUUUCUGAUCUUCACAUCGGUUUGCUUCUUAUAUCUUGGUGUAUGUAUAUUUACUGAAUGGUUUUCGGAAAAACCAGAUUACCUAGAAGAUGUAGUAGUGCGACACUUAGGGUUCUUGAGUGGAAGCAGUGCUUUUAUAUCAUCAACGUUUUUAUCAGCGGUAAAUUAUGUCGAUUAUUGUAUUGGCACAUAUCCUCCAGCAGGUAUAAACUAUAUAACAAAUUUUACUCAUAGCAUUGCGGAGAAGGCAAGCACAUAUUACAGCAAAGAUGUACAAAAUUUUGAUUACAAAAUAACUGUCUAUUGGGCAUGUCAAGUAGUAAAUUUUGUUCUUUUCAUAUUACAUUUCUUAAUUUUCUUUGCAAUUUUUUCCUUUUUAGUUUUAUUUACGUUAAUUUGUUUCUUUGUUUCCUAUGCAGUAUUGAUCUCUAUCUACUGUUUCCUUUUGAUUUGUUUAUGUUCAUUGGUCUUUCUCAAAACUUUGUUACAGACUUUUCUUUUGCGCUAAUUACCUUGCAACAGACCAUCUACAGAUCACUUCAAAGAGUUGUUGUAAAGGUUUAUUGACAUUCAAUUCAAAUAGCAUGCCUCUCUCCCUAUUUUAGACAUUUGGAGACAUGGCUGCAUAUUUUCUUACUCCACAGAGAUGGUCAUCUUUAGAAGCUAUACGGUAGAAAAGCCUUAUUUACAAUAUUUGUAUACUCUAGACAACCUUUUAGGGUCUAUUGUGACAAGGUUAUUGAUGAAUUAUGUAUAAUGUGUGCAUAUAAUUG
rnacentral:lncRNA from 1 species